AGGUGAAAGGAGCUGCAGGAGAGGAAGCACUGCUGUAUCCUGAGCUCCUGAUGUGAGAAGCAAACUGGUUGUUGAGGCCUGAAGUGUUUCCUCAAAGAUGCCGGAGCACAGAGACCCAGGGAUUUGAGAAUGGCUCUAGAAUCCUUCAGGCCGCGAACCUUUGCAUCUGUUUGUUCGGAGAAGAGAGAAGUGCCUUCAAACGGAAGAUCCUGGAUGGACUGUGGAACCUCUGUUGGCAGACCUGAGGACUGGAGCCAAGAGCAUCUACGUAUGACCACCGCAGAAGCCAUGGAUUUAGCAACCAUAUCUGCCGGGAUGCCUGUACCGAACCUGUAGGGAGACCCUAGUCACAGACUUUCCUUCCUUCACCAGCGUGGAAAACUUCUGUCUUGACUUCUGGGGAAGAGAGCCCUUGAACUUCAUCACUGAUUCUCAAACAUUAAAAUCAUAUCUCCCCAGCAACACCUGCUGGUUGGAGAUGCAGAGCUGUAGACCCUCUGCAUAAUAAU